rnacentral:rRNA from 1 species
CCUACGGGGGGCAGCAGUGAGGAAUAUUGGUCAAUGGGCGCGAGCCUGAACCAGCCAAGUAGCGUGAAGGAUGACUGCCCUACGGGUUGUAAACCUCUUUUGUCAGGGAGCAAAGUGCGCCACGUGUGGCGUUUUGCGAGUACCUGACGAACAAGCAUCGGCUAACUCCGUGCCAGCAGCCGCGGUAAUCCGGAGGAUGCGAGCGUUAUCCGGAUUUAUUGGGUUAAAGGGGUGCGCAGGCGGAAUGUCAAGUCAGCGGUAAAAUCGCGGGGCUCAACCCCGCUCCGCCGUUGAAACUGUGGCCCUUGAGUGCGCGAAGGGUAGGCGGAAUGCGUGGUGUAGCGGUGAAAUGCAUAGAUAUCACGCAGAACUCCGAUCGCGAAGGCAGCCUACCGGAGCGCAACUGACGCUCAGGCACGAAAGCGUGGGUAUCGAACAGGAUUAGAUACCCGAGUAGUC